UACGUAGGUGGCAAGCGUUGUCCGGAAUUAUUGGGCGUAAAGCGCGCGCAGGUGGUUUCUUAAGUCUGAUGUGAAAGCCCACGGCUCAACCGUGGAGGGUCAUUGGAAACUGGGGAACUUGAGUGCAGGAGAGAAGAGUGGAAUUCCACGUGUAGCGGUGAAAUGCGUAAAGAUGUGGAGGAACACCAGUGGCGAAGGCGACUCUUUGGCCUGUAACUGACACUGAGGCGCGAAAGCGUGGGGAGCAAACAGG
rnacentral:rRNA from 1 species